rnacentral:lncRNA from 1 species
CUUAAAGCCUACCGGGAACAUGUCUUACAAAGGCCUGUGAAACGCAGUUUCUUCCCAGGCCUGAUCUCGCUGAAGUAGAACUUCUGCUCUGCCGUGUCCUACAUGGGCCUAGAGCUGAAAGGGACAAAGUUCUGCCUUUUGUCCUCAAGGGCAGACAGGUCCCACAGCGUCCGGCUUCCAGCUCUUUGGGAAGCUAAGAAACAGCUCACUCUGCUCAGGGCUUUUACAAGCCUACGGGGAGCAUGUCUUACAAAGGCCUGUGAAACGCAGUUUCUUCCCAGACCUGAUCUCGCUGAAGUAGAACUUCUGCUCUGCCGUGUCCUGCAUGGGCCUAGAGCUGAAAGGGACAAAGUCCUGUCUUGUGUCCUCAAGGGCAGACUGGUCCCACAGCGUCCGGCUUCCAGCUCUUUGGCAGUCUAAGAAACAACUCGCUCUGCACAGGGCUCUUAAAGCCUACCGGGAACAUGUCUUACAAAGGCCUGUGAGACGCAGUUUCUUCCCAGGCCUGAUCUCGCUGAAGUAGAACUUCUGCUCUGCCGUGUUCUACAUGGGCCUAGAGCUGAAAGGGACAAAGUUCUGCCUUUUGUCCUCAAGGGCAGACAGGUCCCAAAGCGUCCGGUUUCCAGCUCUUUGGGAAGCCAAGAAACAGCUCACUCUGCACAGGGCUUUUACAAGCCUACAGGGAGCAUGUCUUACAAAGGCCUAUGAAACGCAGUUUCAUCUCAGGCCUGCUCUCGCUGAAGUAGAACUUCUGCUCUGCCGUGUCCUACAUGGGCCUAGAGCUAAAAGGGACAAAGUCCUGUCUUGUGUCCUCAAGGGCAGACAGGCCCCACAGCGUCCGGCUUCCAGCUCUUUGGGCAGCUGAGAAACAGCUCGCUCUGCACUGGUGUUUUACAGCCUACCGGGAACAUGUCUUACAAAGGCCUGUGAAACGCAGUUUCUUCCCAGGCCUGAUCUCGCUGAAGUAGAACUUCUGCUCUGCCGUGUCCUACAUGACCCUAGAUCUGCAAUUCGCAAAGUCCGGCUUUGUUUCCACAAGGGGAGACAAGUCCCUCAGCGUCCAGAUUCCAUCUCUUUGGGCUGCUAAGAAACAGCUCGCUCUGCACAGGGCUCCUACAAGCCAACCGGGAACAUAUCGUACAAAGACCUGGGUUAUGCUGUUUCUUCCCAGGCCUGCUCUCCCUGAUGUAGGACUUCUGCUCUGCCGUGUCCUUC